UCUCUCUCUCUUUGAUUUUAACACCGCCGAUCUCUCUUUGGUAGGUUUUCCAGUCCCUCCCUUCACUUCAAUUGAUUCAAAGUUUUGUUGCAUGUCGGUGUGAAUUCGAUUUAGAGAUUUGAUGGAGGAAAAUUGAAAAAAUUGGGGGCGAUGGAGAAGGAGUUGUCGAAGGUGUUUGAGGAGGUGUCGAAAGCGGCUGAUGCUACAAAAUUGUGUGACGGAGGCGCCGAGUAAACUCGAUGCCUUGACCUUGGAUUGGUUUAAGAAUUUUCCCGUCUCUUAUCAGCUCCUCGUCUUAACCUAAGUAUGAUAUCGCUUCUGCUGCUGGCUGGGAUUCUAGGGGCUGCUUCGAAGUUGGAUUUCAUAUCAGUUACUGGGUUUGGUUAGGGUACUCCUGUGACUAUCUUGUGAAUUUUUUUGUUACAGGUAAUUACUUCAGUUCCUGCAUCAUCUUUAAAUGCAGAUUGUUUUCUCUGACCUUUGCUAUUUGUGAUCGGUUGCACUGCUGGUAGUGAGAGUGUUUUCAUAUAAAGGCCUGCAUCAUAUCAUAUUGCUGGUUCCCAUUUGUGGCCUAUUAGAAAUCCUAGUAGCUUAGCAAUAUUCAUGGUUGAUAAAACUUUACUACUUGUAUCAUGGUUGCAUCAGCUCAUAUAUUUGGGUCAGUUAUUUGGAGAAUGGGAAGGUCUCAGACAUCAAUAUAAGACAGAAUGGGAUUGCUGCAGGUUAUUAUGUGAAUGCAAAGAAUACACCAAUUAUCUUUCGUUGGAUUCCUCAUGCAACUCUAAUUAGAUGGGCUCUGCAUCAACGAGUUUCGCGGUCUUCAAUUUGAGCAUCAACAUUCUUUUAAUAUUAAAGAUGGAGAACAGGCACUUGAACGCAUCUCCUUUGGAGGAAGUCAUAUUAGGGAAACCGUGGUAGCUCAAAGUAGAAUACUGUUGUUUUGGUAUUGCACCACUUACUGAUUCAUAUAUAUAUAUAUGGAGUGCCAUGGAGAUGUUUAUCGAGUAGAGUGGGCAGAGCAGAUUGAUGGAUUUUGGCGCAGAUGAACUAAAAUAGUUAGCAUAUGUAUAUGCAGAUUUCUUACUUUGUGUAGCAGCAACUUUGGAUUAAAUUGGUCAAAACAGUAGAGUAGGACAUUUUGGAUCUUUAUUCUCCUUUAAUAAGAUGGACUUAUGGCGUUUGUAGAUUACUUGUGUUGGAUGUUUUCUAUGUUGUAUUG